rnacentral:tRNA from 1 species
GGGAAGGUGGUUGAGUUGGUAAAGCUCAGGCUUUGUAUGUCUGAAGCUGUGGGUUCAGUCUCCAAUUCUGCUUG